rnacentral:rRNA from 1 species
CGGACGGGUGAGUAACGUCUGGGAAACUGCCUGAUGGAGGGGGAUAACUACUGGAAACGGUAGCUAAUACCGCAUAACGUCGCAAGACCAAAGAGGGGGACCUUCGGGCCUCUUGCCAUCGGAUGUGCCCAGAUGGGAUUAGCUAGUAGGUGGGGUAACGGCUCACCUAGGCGACGAUCCCUAGCUGGUCUGAGAGGAUGACCAGCCACACUGGAACUGAGACACGGUCCAG